rnacentral:rRNA from 1 species
UGGGGAAUUUUGGACAAUGGGCGCAAGCCUGAUCCAGCAAUGCCGCGUGCAGGAUGAAGGCCUUCGGGUUGUAAACUGCUUUUGUACGGAACGAAAAGCCUCUCUCUAAUACAGGGGGGUGAUGACGGUACCGUAAGAAUAAGCACCGGCUAACUACGUGCCAGCAGCCGCGGUAAUACGUAGGGUGCAAGCGUUAAUCGGAAUUACUGGGCGUAAAGCGUGCGCAGGCGGUUUUGUAAGACAGUGGUGAAAUCCCCGGGCUCAACCUGGGAACUGCCAUUGUGACUGCAAGGCUGGAGUGCGGCAGAGGGGGAUGGAAUUCCGCGUGUAGCAGUGAAAUGCGUAGAUAUGCGGAGGAACACCGAUGGCGAAGGCAAUCCCCUGGGCCUGCACUGACGCUCAUGCACGAAAGCGUGGGGAGCAAAACAGGAUUAGAUACCCUGGUAGUCCACGCCCUAAAACGAUGUCAACUGGUUGUUGGGGAUUUAUUUCUUCAGUAACGAAGCUAACGCGUGAAGUUGA